UGUAAAAUCUAAGUGACUCAUACAACAUGGAAUUCAUAUAAAAAGGAAUAAUCAUCAGUGUUAUAGGGGGGUCGACUGUAAUUUUUGCUGUUUUAAAUUUAAUUUUUUCUGAAUGUAAGUCUUGAAACCGAUAUUCUAAAGAAACUUAUGAAGAGUAGGGAUCUAGUUUAUCGAAUCAAGGCAGCCACGAGGUGCAUGCAGAAAAAUUUGGAAACCACCGAAGUAGAUAAUCCAAGUGAAUAGGAGCCAUAAAGAAAGCCAACUGUGGACAUUCAGUGAACAAGAAACUGGUGUUCCUAUCAAGUUUCUAAAACAGUAACAUGCAAAGAACCCAAUGGAACAGAAACAUUUAUUGGUCGCCAUUGGCAAAGAUGUUGGUAUUGGCCUUAUCCAGAAACGUGCGGAGGUACAUAUAGUAACAAGAGAAAUUAAAAUAUAUUACAAUGCACAAGUUCCCAAAAGAUUCAAAUUUAAAAAGAGAGAUGAGGAAUAUCAUUAAGAAUAGAAGGA